rnacentral:rRNA from 1 species
GUACACUCCUACGGGAGGCAGCAGUGGGGAAUUUUGGACAAUGGGCGAAAGCCUGAUCCAGCAAUGCCGCGUGAGUGAAGAAGGCCUUCGGGUUGUAAAGCUCUUUUGUCAGGGAAGAAACGGUGAAAGCUAAUAUCUUUUGCUAAUGACGGUACCUGAAGAAUAAGCACCGGCUAACUACGUGCCAGCAGCCGCGGUAAUACGUAGGGUGCAAGCGUUAAUCGGAAUUACUGGGCGUAAAGCGUGCGCAGGCGGUUUUGUAAGUCUGAUGUGAAAUCCCCGGGCUCAACCUGGGAAUUGCAUUGGAGACUGCAAGGCUAGAAUCUGGCAGAGGGGGGUAGAAUUCCACGUGUAGCAGUGAAAUGCGUAGAUAUGUGGAGGAACACCGAUGGCGAAGGCAGCCCCCUGGGUCAAGAUUGACGCUCAUGCACGAAAGCGUGGGGGGCAAACAGGAUUAGAUACCCGAGUAGUCCCAUGA